UGCCAGACUCCUACGGGAGGCAGCAGUGGGGAAUAUUGCACAAUGGGCGAAAGCCUGAUGCAGCAACGCCGCGUGAAGGAAGAAGGGUUUCGGCUCGUAAACUUCUAUCAACAGGGAUGAAAGAAAUGACGGUACCUGAAUAAGAAGCCCCGGCUAACUACGUGCCAGCAGCCGCGGUAAUACGUAGGUGGCAAGCGUUGUCCGGAUUUACUGGGUGUAAAGGGCGUGCAGCCGGGAGUGCAAGUCAGAUGUGAAAUCCCGCGGCUCAACCGCGGAACUGCAUUUGAAACUGUGCUUCUUGAGUGCUGGAGAGGCAGACGGAAUUCCUAGUGUAGCGGUGAAAUGCGUAGAUAUUAGGAGGAACACCAGUGGCGAAGGCGGUCUGCUGGACAGUAACUGACGGUGAGGCGCGAAAGCGUGGGGAGCAAACAGGAUUAGAUACCCUAGUA
rnacentral:rRNA from 1 species